CCUACGGGAGGCAGCAGUGGGGGAUAUUGCACAAUGGGGGAAACCCUGAUGCAGCGACGCCGCGUGUGGGAAGACGGUCCUCUGGAUUGUAAACCACUGUCCCCAGGGACGAAGAUGACGGUACCUGGGGAGGAAGCUCCGGCUAACUACGUGCCAGCAGCCGCGGUAAUACGUAGGGAGCGAGCGUUGUCCGGAAUUACUGGGUGUAAAGGGAGCGUAGGCGGGGAUGCAAGUUGGGGGUCAAAACUACCGGCUCAACUGGUAGUCGCACUCAAAACUGCAGCUCUUGAGUGGAGUAGAGGCAGGCGGAAGUCCUAGUGUAGCGGGUAAAUGCGGAGAUAUUAGGAGGGACACCAGUGGCGAAGGCGGCCUGCUGGGCUUUUACUGACGCUGAUGCUCGAAAGUGUGGGGAGCAAACAGGAUUAGAUACCCUUGUAGUC
rnacentral:rRNA from 1 species